CUUUAACCCGACGCAAUUCGUCGGUUAAUACUUUAACAUCUUUCCCGACAAUAUCUUAUCCCAUGUUUCAUAAUCCCGCGUAACCGACUGUAUUUUACUGCUGUUAUGGUUAUCGCAUUGAGAAAACAAACAGUCAGUGGUAUCAUUAAAGUUCACGUCGUUUAGCCGGCGAGAAAUUUUCUCCUUGAGAAUUAGUUGCUUUCAAGUUUACGCCUAAUCCAACUUUACAACUGCAGUUAUUAUGUCUUCGCCUAAUUGGGAUUUCUUAAACAUGUAACGCGUUAUUCAACAGCGACGUUAAAAUUUAAAACGUACUCCCAUUAGCGUUUGCCAAACCUUUGUCUGCAACAAAGCCUCGAAACUGUUUCAAGAUAAAAUUUGUUGAUUCUUAUUCACGCAGAUGCAAUGUCUUAUCAUCGUCGCCUCUCUGCCUUUCCAUAAUCUGCUUUGAUCCUCGGUGCUUUCGUCGCCUCAAAUAAUCCGUAGUAUCAACAGGUAGGGCAGGUAGGUAGGAACAUUCGAUACGCGCGCCAUCUUUGUAUCGAAAACGAUUUCUGAACCCAAACAACUCGCACACUUCGUAGGAGACGGUCGUCCAGUUACCGAACGCUUACCGAGUGCUCCGAAAUGAAUCGUUAUUAUUUCGACGGUACGUAGUUUUGUGAUUGGUGAGUGAGUUACCACUUUACGAUGACAACUGCAAGAGUUUGGCGACGAAGCAAGUGACGUGAACAGGACAAGGUGUUUAUUACGUUCAACCGAAAAACACUGCGAUGGAUACACGAUUUGAGUGAUUUUUUAUUCCUACCACUGCUUUAAUUUCCGGAAUUUGCCUAACGAUCAACUUGACGUCAGUUUGAAGAAUACAAGACCAGUCCAGUUACUAUAAAGCAACUCUGUCAAUCAACGUUGGCCGUAAGUAGCAGCCUGUAGUUUCUGCCUCGCAGUCUCGAUAGUGGUGAGAAAGGGCCACGUCUGGGUCGACCACGAAUUGCUCGAACCCUAAAACGAACGUCGAGUCGGAAUGCGAAGGUACGACAAUGCAACGCGCCAUCUGUACUUACCGCAGCUUGAACAAGAACGAGAAAUGUUAGAGUAAUGAAAAUCCCAGCGACAAUGAUCGUCUUCACUUGCCGUGGAAGUGACGGCCAUGUCGACAACGUCGGCUUGUGCAGCAACGUGUACUUCACCAUUGCAUUCUUAUACGUCGGACACUGUACAGAAAACUGACUCAAACAUCAUUCACUCACCUGGCCACGAUAACACGCCUGUUAUCAGCAGUGGCGUCGGGUACUCAGCGUGUGAUUAGCGGCAUCAAUUCAACGAUGUCCAAUGUAAUUCUUUCAGUAACAUCAAACAUUCAACGUUUUUUUUGGAUCGGGUUUAAUGGAUCUGGUUUACCGAUAUCAAUAUACGCCUCUGGUUUCCAAAUCCAGGAAGGAUUUACCAAAUGACACAGGUGUGGUCAAUGUGAAUCCUAUUCGUCUGUUGACGUCUUACAACCUCUUCCGACUUGACUUGACACCUCACUGAAUCUUGGGCAUACCUACAUAAUGUUAAAUAACAUUGUUGCAGUCCUCUUUGUCUGACACUUUGAUUCUAUUUGUCUGUUUGUUAAAUUACUACACGUACACACGAACACUUGUAUUAUACAUAGUAUAUAUUGUACUAUAUCAAAAGGCGUAUAAAAUAAACUAAAACUUUGAA